AACGAACGCUGGCGGCAUGCCUAACACAUGCAAGUCGAACGAGACCUUCGGGUCUAGUGGCGCACGGGUGCGUAACGCGUGGGAACCUGCCUUUAGGUUCGGAAUAACUCAGAGAAAUUUGAGCUAAUACCGGAUGGUGUCUUCGGACCAAAGAUUUAUCGCCUUUAGAUGGGCCCGCGUUGGAUUAGCUAGUUGGUGGGGUAAAGGCCUACCAAGGCGACGAUCCAUAGCUGGUCUGAGAGGAUGAUCAGCCACACUGGGACUGAGACACGGCCCAGACCCCUAGGGGGGGGAGGAGGGGGGAAUAUGGGAAAAUGGGCGAAAGCCUGAUCCAGCAAUGCCGGGUGAGUGAUGAAGGCCUUAGGGUUGUAAAGCUCUUUUACCCGAGAUGAUAAUGACAGUAUCGGGAGAAUAAGCCCCGGCUAACUCCGG
rnacentral:rRNA from 1 species